GCAAGUCGAACGGUAACGGACCGCUGUGAUCCCUUCGGGGUGAACUUGGUGCCGACGAGUGGCGGACGGGUGAGUAAUGCUUAGGAAUCUACCCAGUAGCGGGGGACAACACGGGGAAACUCGUGCUAAUACCGCAUACGCCCUACGGGGGAAAGUGGAGGAUCUUCGGACUUCACACUAUUGGAUGAGCCUAAGUCGGAUUAGCUUGUUGGUGAGGUAAAAGCUCACCAAGGCGACUAUCCGUAGCUGGUCUGAGAGGACGAUC
rnacentral:rRNA from 1 species